GAGCUGUUGUUCCCCAACCCAUGGAGCUCGUGGAUGGUUUGCUCAGCACUCACGGAUAGCAUCAGAUUUGGCAAUUUUUUCCUUGAAGCUGGUGUUCCGCGAACGUUUUUCUCUUCACCACGAAAGAGAUUCCAGGAAAACACGGGCUCGGAGACUGCCCUCCUUAAUGGGAGCGUUAAUUAGAAUUAGCCCUGGCUGCUGGCUGUUGGGCCCGUUAAUGAAUUGAAAGCAUCUCGCCGAGGUCAGGCUUGCCAGCAGGUGCGCGUCAGCAGCUCUCCGUAGGUGCACGGAUAAUGAUUUGUAAGUACAGCAAAAGCAGAGCCCUGCCUGGAUGCUGCGCCCUGGAGCAAGGAACCGCGAGAGCAAGGGGACAGAGCUCAGUGAUGCCACGCGCCUGCAUCCCGUGCUGAUGGUGGCACGUUCAUUUUCCUGCUUCUUGCACCACCGUCAGAGCAAGAUAAAUGCUGCUGGAGCUGCUUUUGGUGCAUACGGAGAACAUUUGAGCGCUUCCCAUGUCUACAAGCCACAGAACAGCCCCCUAACCUCCUGUUGGGCUGCUCUUUUUAAUGUGAAUCCUGCGGUUUUAAGCCGUGCUGUAAAAAAAAAAAUAUUCUUCAGGGAGUCACUCAGAGCUGGCAGUGAGCUAAAAGAAAUGUUUUAG
rnacentral:lncRNA from 1 species